UACGAAGGGGGCUAGCGUUGCUCGGAAUUACUGGGCGUAAAGGGCGCGUAGGCGGCACUGUUAGUCAGGCGUGAAAGUCCUGGGCUCAACCUGGGACUGCGCUUGAUACGGCAGAGCUAGAGGAUGGAAGAGGCUCGCGGAAUUCCCAGUGUAGAGGUGAAAUUCGUAGAUAUUGGGAAGAACACCGGUGGCGAAGGCGGCGAGCUGGUCCAUUACUGACGCUGAGGCGCGACAGCGUGGGGAGCAAACAGGAUUAGAGUACCCUUG
rnacentral:rRNA from 1 species